UACGAGAGGCCCAAACGUUAUUCGGAUUUACUGGGCUUAAAGAGUUCGUAGGCGGUUCGGUAAGUGGGGUGUGAAAGCCCUCGGCUCAACCGAGGAACUGCAUUCCAGACUACCACACUCGAGGGAGAUAGAGGUGAGCAGAACUGAUGGUGGAGCGGUGAAAUGCGUUGAUAUCAUCAGGAAUACCGGAGGCGAAGGCGGCUCACUGGGUCUCUUCUGACGCUGAGGAACGAAAGCUAGGGGAGCAAACGGG
rnacentral:rRNA from 1 species